rnacentral:lncRNA from 1 species
AAUUAUCGACACUCAGUGCUAGCUCAUCAUUAUGUUGGUAAUUUUCCUAAAUUUCAUGCCAAGCUAAAAGGUCAAAUCAUUUCCAAUCAUGAAAUUUUUGAAUUUACUUUCGAUGUACAAUAUAAAUUAGAACGCUCUACUCAGGAAUAUUAUACUUUAUUAAGAGUCUCUUUGACCCGCUUUCCCAAAAAUGUGAAGAAAAGCUUUUUGGACCACUCGUAUAAAGGUUUUCCUAAUCAGGGCUCAUUUGAGCCUUCAAUAUUGCAAUCUUUUAUCUCUACAAGCCAGCCUUCGGUGCUAAUUUCUCAUGCUCAUUAUGCACAAUCACGUGAAGAUUUUGGAGUUGAGUUGCAUGAGCGUUUACUAUUUGGAGAUCAAUAUCGGUAUUUGAUUAAAAAGAGAGAUCGUCCUCCUUGGGUGGAUCAUAGCUUUGAGGAUCAGCUACAGCUUUCAUUGUUAUCAACUGUUGAAUUUCGAUAUUUGGGUCAUCAAAAAGAUCGCCCCCCGUGGUAUUUCAACCACUCGAUAGGAUCUAGUUUUUCUCCCACCUCGGAAGAGUUGAUGCGGACAUCGGUCCAAAUUAAUUUACUUAUUGUUUUAUUUAUUGAUGUCUUUUUAUUUCAUUGGGCUUGUCUAGUGGGUCUAGCCCAAGCUCGUGAAUACUAGGUUUCUUUUGUUAUUUAGAUGUUGGUAACUGGAAUUGCAAGACAGUUCUGAUGAAUAUGAAUUAUUGAGAUUGGUUGUGGCGUCUCCUUCCUCUCCC